AGUCAGGAAAUGAAGCAAGAGGGAGCACGAGGAGCAAGGGAACUCUAGAAGUUUCUUUGAGCAUUGUGGUUUUCUCAAAUCAUCAGCAGCACCGAGACACGACAAGCCUGUAACGUCUCCAAGAUGUGACUGGGCCCUGUCAGUAAUGCCUUAAAUAUUUCCAGGCAGCGUCCUUCCACAGCCUCAGUUAGGCCCACGGGAUGCUUCACCCCAAGUCAAUCCGACCUCUUCGUAUUCACAGAGGUACUCACUCGAAAGAAAACAAAAGGCGGGAGAGAUGGUUCUGCUGGUGACAUGCUCACUUUGAAAGCAUCAAGACCUGAGUUCUACCCCAAGAAUCCAGAUGUGAUCAAAGGAGUUCCAUCCUGAGAUUUGUCUGGGCCUCUGCAGGAGAAUUGGCUGCACUUUCCAGCGAGAAAAGCCAAGGCCACCAGAACCAGAGAGGAACCAGUCACAUUGUCCCUUGCCUUGCUGAGUCUAGUAGUGAUCCGCAGCCCUGUUCCUGGAACAUCUGUGUGACAGCUGAGGACCUGGCUACGAGCCCCAGAGUCUAACUUCUUCAAAGGCCUGUUCGUCAUUGAAAUGUACUUCACAAUAACAAUGGAGCUCUUGUGGCUCCAAGGAGAAGAUUACUUCCUCCAGAAAGUCCACUCAUUUCUCCAGGAUCCAGGCCCAGAGAGUGCCUCCGACCCACAGUAACCUCAGUACUACGACACACUGUCCUGCCCAGCACAGCAUACAACCAGAUUGCUGUGGAGUCUGGAGGCACAGCCUGUCACCAUCAGAAGAGUACGGAACAAUCCCUUGCUGACACAAUUGGAAAAUGAAGAGAGGAAAGAACUCAUUUUUCUGAUCUAUAAACCGUUUUAAAACAAAGGCCACCUUGCCAAUUAACAAACCUCAGUGAGCUGCUGCUUCCUGUAGAUAGUGUGCAAAACAAGAUGAGAGAUUAGUGUAAACAAUGCUGCCCAGGAAAAGCAAGGCAGGCAGGCGGGCAGGCAAUAUGGGCUCAUUGGUGCAACAGUAGCACAACUGUUUGGGGCGUAACCACUCACUUUCUGCUCAACUCUGGUCUGCUCCGUGGUAGGAAAUGCAAGCCUGUUUCCAUAAACCUGGUCAAAGCUUACAGCUAAGGAGGUCACAGAUGCUAGAGGGGAGGCUACUACUGAUGUUUUUGCUAAACUGACGCUGCUCUCAGCCUUGGUCAGACAAAGUUUCCUUUUGCAGUGGGCAUUAGUUAAUGCAGAGAUUCCUAACUGGGCAAAGCGCUGAGAAGCGGCUGAUGAAAGACACAAUACAUUGCAUAUGCAUAUGAAAUUGCUGAAAAUUUAAAAGAUAGAGAAGCAGAGUGAUGGGAAGAGAGAUAUCUUAGGAUGAAAUGAGUAUCCUCUAUACAUAUUCUGCAAUGACCAAAAUUAAGCUGUAAACUCUGUCUGCCCAGGAACCAGGUAACUUCCAGGAAUGCUGGGAAUUGUAGUUCUGGGAAAUAACAAAGCUUCAUGGGAAAAUAUGGUGGCCUAUAGGUUUGUCCUUGCAACAUGUGGCUCGAGGCCGUUCCAGCUGGAAAAUUCUGUGGAAUGGUUCUGACCAAAGUUUAGUUCUUUUUGUUGUUGUUGUUGUUGUUGUUGUUUUUGAUUUUUGAGACAGGGUUUCUUUGUAUAGCCCUGGCUGUCCUGGAACUCACUCUGUAGACCAGGCUGGCCUGGAACUCAGAAAUCCGCCUGCCUCUGCCUCCCAAGUUCUGGGAUUACAGGCGUGCGCCACCACGCCCAGCGAGAAAUUUCUUAUAUGAAUUCUUAUGGAUAAUUAUGUGGGUCCCACACCGGUGAAUGACUCAAGCCCAACGUGGGUUUUACAUAGCUUCUUCUGAAGUGUGGGCACUGUACGGCUUAUUUCAUUUGCAUGGGCGGGCGGGAGUUGCAGGCCAGUGGGCCUGACAACAUGAAGAGUCCAAGUUGUGUAUAAAGUGACAUGUGCCUGGUCUUUGUGGUGGUCAGCAAUUCUGACAAACAUCUUCCAGGUGACCUUCUACCUAUGCUUGAAACUACAGAAAGAUUAAUUCAUCUGCCCCGUCUUUAUGAGUGACUUGGGGGGGCUACCUGAUGGUUAGUGACUAACUCAGGAGCAACCAUCAAGACACAGGGGUGGGUCAGAAGCUCACACGUAACAGCUUUCCAACCACAAUGAUUAAAAACAGAAACCCAGAAUGUAGCUAAAUGAAACGUUGUCUCUUUACCUUCUCAUGGAGGUGCUAUCCUGUGGCUGCUCUGAAUGCUGGACUCCCUCUUUGAGGAUUGCUAGCCUAGUCUGGAGAAGCCCUUGCCUUUCUUUUUUGCUGUUGUACAAGUAAAAUCUUCUGAACUAUC